ACUCCUACGGGAGGCAGCAGUGGGGAAUCUUCCGCAAUGGACGAAAGUCUGACGGAGCAACGCCGCGUGUAUGAUGAAGGUCUUCGGAUUGUAAAGUACUGUCUUUGGGGAAGAAUGACUGAUUUGAAAAUAUUGAGUCAGUAUGACGGUACCCAAGGAGGAAGCCCCGGCUAACUACGUGCCAGCAGCCGCGGUAAUACGUAGGGGGCAAGCGUUGUCCGGAAUUAUUGGGCGUAAAGGGCGCGUAGGCGGAUAGUUAAGUCCGGUGUGAAAGAUCAGGGCUCAACCCUGAGAGUGCAUCGGAAACUGGUUAUCUUGAGGACAGGAGAGGAAAGUGGAAUUCCUAGUGUAGCGGUGAAAUGCGUAGAUAUUAGGAGGAACACCAGUGGCGAAGGCGACUUUCUGGACUGUAACUGACGCUGAGGCGCGAAAGCGUGGGGAGCAAACAGGAUUAGAUACCCUGGUAGUCCACGCCGUAAACGAUGAGUGCUAGGUGUAGAGGGUAUCGACCCCUUCUGUGCCGCAGUUAACACAAUAAGCACUCCGCCUGGGGAGUACGGCCGCAAGGUUGAAACUCAAAUGAAUUGACGGA
rnacentral:rRNA from 1 species